UACGUAGGUGGCAAGCGUUGUCCGGAUUCAUUGGGCGUAAAGGGUGCGUAGGCGGCGCGGUAAGUCGGGUGUGAAAUCUCACAGCUCAACUGUGAAACUGCCGUUGAUACUGCUUUUCUUGAGUUCGGGAGAGGUUGAUGGAAUUCCAGGUGUAGCGGUGAAAUGCGUAGAUAUCUGGAAGAACACCAGUGGCGAAGGCGGUCAACUGGCCCGUAACUGACGCUGAGGCACGAAAGCGUGGGUAGCGAACAGG
rnacentral:rRNA from 1 species